GUGGGGAAUAUUGGGCAAUGGGGGAAACCCUGACCCAGCGACGCCGCGUGAGGGAAGACGGCCUUCGGGUUGUAAACCUCUUUUGUACGGGAAGAAGGAAGUGACGGUACUGUACGAAUAAGUCCCGGCUAACUACGUGCCAGCAGCCGCGGUAAUACGUAGGGGACGAGCGUUGUCCGGAAUUACUGGGCGUAAAGGGCGCGCAGGCUGUGCUGCAAGUCAGCUGUGAAAUGUCUGGGCUUAACCCGGGCAUGCGGUUGAGACUGCAGUGCUGGAGUGCUGUGGAGGCAAGUGGAAUUCCCAGUGUAGCGGUGAAAUGCGUAGAUAUUGGGAAGAACACCGGUGGCGAAGGCGACUUGCUGGGCAGCAACUGACGCUGAGGCGCGAAAGCCAGGGGAGCAAACGGGAUUAGAUACCCGGGUAGUCC
rnacentral:rRNA from 1 species